rnacentral:rRNA from 1 species
UCUCUUAGUAAUGGCGAAUGAACAGGGAAUAGUUCAGAGUGAUAAUCGGGGCCUCUGGCCUUGAAUUGUAGUCUUGCGACGGCUUGCCAGCGGUGGCUCAGAUGUAAGCCUUCUGGAAAGGAGCAUCAAAGAGGGUGAGAAUCCUGUUUGUCAUCUGAAUGCACCCGCAUACGGCAGACGUUCAAAGAGUCACGUUCCUCGGGAUUGGAGCGCAAAGUGGGUGGUAAAUUUCAUCUAAAACUAAAUAUAGGUUUGAGACCGAUAGCAAACAAGUACCCUGAGGGAAAGGUGAAAAGGACUUUGGAAAGAGAGUUAAAAGUGUCUGAAAUUGCUGAAAGGGAAGCGAAUGGAACCAGCCGUUCUUUGCAAGAUUGUUGCACGCUGAUGUGACUUGUGGGCUCUUCAGCGCAAGCGGAGGGCUUGCUUGCAAGCUGCUAGCGUGCGGUGUCUCUUGCAUUGCGCGUCAAUGUCAGUCCACUUGUGAGGAAAACACCGGGAACAUGGUAGUCUUCUUACGGGCAGGCGAAUGUUUUCGGCUGAACUCACAGGCGAACUGCUUUCAGCGCAUAUGGUCGUCGCGCUGCGCGCUUCGCUUUGGCUUCGGCCUUUGCAGAGCGUACUUCGCGCACCAUCUGCUUGGACAUUGACUAAAUGGUUUCAUUCGACCCGUCUUGAAACACGGACCAAGGAGUCUAACAUAUGUGCAAGUUCUCGGGCGGGAAAACCUGCUUGCGCAAUGAAAGUGACUGCUGGGAUUGUUGCACCAGCAACCGACCAAUCGAUUGUGAGAGGUUUGAGUAUGAGCACAUCUGUUAGGACCCGAAAGAUGGUGAACUAUGCCUGAGAAGGGGUGAAGUCAGGGGAAACUCUGAUGGAGGCUCGUAGCGAUACUGACGUGCAAAUCGUUCGUCAUACUUGGGUAUAGGGGCGAAAGACUAAUCGAACCAUCUAGUAGCUGGUUCCCUCCGAAGUUUCCCUCAGGAUAGCUGGAGUUGAACAGUUUUAUCAGGUAAAGCGAAUGAUUAGAGGCAUCGGGGACGCGUUGUCCUCGACCUAUUCUCAAACUUUAAAUGGGUAAGAUCCAGGAGUUGCUUGGUUGAACUUCUGGGAUAAAUGACAACUCUAAGUGGGCCAUUUUUGGUAAGCAGAACUGGCGAUGAGGGAUGAACCUAACGUCUGGUUAAGGUGCUUAACUGCUCGCUCAUCAGAUACCAUAAAGGGUGUUGGUUCAUUUUAACAGCAGGAC